GCUGGGCAUGGUGGCUCAUGCCUGUAAUCCCAGCUACUCAGGAGGCUAAGGAAGAAGGAUUGCAAGUUUGAGGCCAGUAUAGGUUGCAAGACAAAAAAGAAAAAGUUAGAAACAUUUAAAGUGAUUAAGGCAGUCUCAGAUUUGUUUACUUCUUUGCCAAUACAAGGUCCCAACUUGUGUAGGGAGUUUUUUUUUUUU
rnacentral:sRNA from 1 species